rnacentral:lncRNA from 1 species
GAGCGCGAGCAGACGGUGCAGCAUGGCGCACAGCGGAGGCCGCGGGCGGCCGAACCCGGCGUGUCCUUGGGCGUUUCCAGGUGCAACAAAACCUGCUCAUUUGAAGGUGCUUGAACAAAUAUUUUCUAAACACUUGUCAUGGAGAGUGAUUGAAACAAGCUGCCAGGACUACAUUUGCCAAUAACAAGCAUGUAGGUGGCUGUAGUGGAUGUCCAACUUUGGGAGCUGUGAUGUCUAAAAACCCUUUAUUGUUUUGGAAAUCAGUAUCACUAUGAAAAAGCUGAUGAAUCGGGACUGCUGAAUCCUAUCAUAUCUGCACUUACACUGCCUGCUUAACUGGGUGAGAGCCAAAAACAUUUUGGGACAUGAUUAUGGAUUGCCAAACUCUAACCAGGUGGCAACUACUAAUUCCCAGCAGGACUGAAGAUCAUCUUGCAGUUGUUCUUGGGGGCAGCUGACCGGCCUUGGCAUAUGAGACAUGGCUCCAUUGAGACUAAAUCAUCAGAUGCUAAUUCACAGCAGAAAAGGUAAGCUUACAAUCCAGGCAUCAUUACUACAGGCACAUUCAACAAGACAGAAAGAAAUGGGUCAGGAAAGAAGACCUGUCGGAGACCAGCCAGAUCUGAAGAGGGACAACGGAUACAGCAGCGGAACACAGCAGCUGGUAAACAGUACACAGCAGCUCUCACCUGGGAGCGAUUCUGCAACAGCUGAAGACGUUUCUAGUGGUCUAUACUCGGGGGGAGGGGCGGGGGGGGGGGUCAGGAAUGUCACAGAGCAUCUAAUAUGCACAGGACUUCCCCACAGCAAGAAAAUUAUCUGAUCCAGUGUCAGUGCCGAGGUCAUGAAACUAGUGCAGAAUGAUAAUGCUGAGAGACAGCCAUUUUUCUUUGGUGAUAUGGCCCACUGGAGUAUGGACAGCCACACAUGUGGGCUAAAAUGGUGUCUGCGUCCGGUCCACUACAGGGCUAGGGCCUUUCAAGGAGGCAGGACGCAGGAGUUACGACUGCUUGUUCCCCAUGCCAUCGCCGGGCGGGCACUGGGAUAUGUGCUCUGGGGGUGGGGAAGUGCAGUCUGAGGUCCCUGGGGAACUGCCAGAGUUGGCUCAGUGGUUUCAGGGCCUGUGCAUAAAUAAGGCAGGACAUUAGGUCCUCAUAGGAGAGGCUCUUUAGAGGAAGACCUGCUCUAUUGUUCCCCAUUCAUUGCCAGUCCGUUGAGAAGAGGCAGUCCAUGGUUUUAAGACAUUUAUUGUCAUGGUGGGAAGUUGAUGAAUAAAAACUGGACCCCACUUUCUCAGGGAAGGCCUGAGGUUAAAUACCUUUUGCAGCGAGGAGUGUCUGGGAAGGAGAGUUUAAUUGACUAAGCUCUUCAGGCCUUUAGGUACCUCAUUAAAAUGGAGAUCUGUCUGAAGUCAAGUCCCCUACCUGUGAAGGGGCUUGGGGCGUUGCCCUUACGUGACUGAUGCCCACAGACCUAUGGAGUGAAGAGCUAUGGCCUCCUGUUAGAGCCGCCGCCAUUUAGCACAUGUCUACGAGCAUGGCAAAAUGCCUACCAUCCCUUGCAGGCUAAGGUCACCUGCUGGGUCACGAGGUUUUGAACCUAGCUCAAACCAGGCUGCAUCUCAUAGUUCCACAACACAUUCGUGUUAUAUUAGGUAGCACUAAUUGUACUUAGUGCAUUAUUAAAACAAAACAAAUCCAUGAAGUUAGGAGGGUGAUGUGUUCACAAGAGUCCUGGGAAAGGUUGGAGGGGAAAGGAUAUAGAUAUGAGCAAAAGACACUAUGUAUGCAUAAUAUUCUCAAUGAAAUCAUUAAAGAUUGUAAAAAGUUGGGUAAAGCAAAAAGAUAUUUUCAAUAAAAGAGAGGUAGUUUACCUUUUUAUUUAUUUUAAAGAUUUUAACCUAGAUUAUGUACAUAUGGGUAAAACACUAAAGUAUAAAAAUGCUCAACUUCUGACCAGGCGGUAGUGGUGCAUGACUUUAAUCCCAGUACUCAGUGCUCAGGAGGUAGAGACAGAAGGAUGGAUCUCUGAGUUUGAAAACAGCCUGGUCUAGAGAGUGAGUUCAAGGACUGUCAUGGUUACAAGAGAAAACAUGUCUCAAAAAACAAAACAAACAAAAAAAAACCAAAUAAACCAACCAACCAAAACAACAACAAAAGUAUAAAUUGUAUGUUAGAAUUUUGUUAAUGUAAAUACUGCUUUAAUACAUGGACAUUCAUUUAAAUUAAAUGGUUUUAAAGAAUUUUCUCUUUA